AAGUGCUGGCAGAAGCCCAUACCAGGGAGUGGUUGGCGUGGAGUUCCCUUGUCUGAUUUCUCUCCUCUUUCUCUCUCUCCUCCUCCCAGGUCCCAGAUUGCCUAACUAGGCAGCAGGAAGCUGCAGGAGCAGCAGAAGCCCUUUGCCGCUUUCAGAUCCUCUUUGGCGUGCUGAGUGUACUGGCUGACAUGAUGCCUGCGACCUUGCUCUGACAAGCAUCCUCAGUAGAUGCUGCAGCAUUCGUGAGCCUCAUCAGUCUGGUAUCCCUACUUGUAACCAACCUCAGCCCACUUCUGGUUGAACAUGGAGUGACACAUAUUUCCUGUCUGUCUGCACCCGUGCUCCUGAUGGCUGAAGUGUAUGAUGCCUCCCAGCAUCAGCCCUGCACAAAGCAGGCUGGGCCAGCCUGGCUGCAGGUCUACACAGUGCUGGCAGACCUCCUUUUGACAGCUUGGUAGCCAAGGCAGAGAGACAUCUAGUUCAAAACCUUUGUAUUUCAAGUGGUUUCUAGUGUUGCAGUGGCACAGAGCACCUAGCAAACAGGACCUUAGUCCUUAAUGCCCUUAAUAACAUCACUGAAUCAAGGCAGGAAUUGAUUUGAGGCUGUUUGAAGAUAAUAAUUUUGGCCCAGGCUUAAUUACUCAAUCUUGGCUUGCAGGAACCAAGACAUGGCUGGUAUGUUUUGUGCACAUCAGCCUUUUCUCUCCAGUCGUGAAGCCAGUUUCUGGAUGGUGCAGCACUGAUCUGAUGGGUCAUCUCUCUGGUCUGCUGGGAUUUACAGAUCUCAGUAUGCAGGAGAAUGACAUUUGGAUCAAGAGCUGGCACACUGGAAUUUUCUAGUUGAAAUUUGCUCUUUCUGUUUUGCUGAGUCCUGCAGGAAACCCUGCUCUGUGUGUCACGUUUCUGAUUCUCCAUGUGGCAAUGAUGACAUUUCCUAUUGCAAGGUAUUCAGUGGUACAGUAAUAAUAAAUGCUUCCACAGUG